rnacentral:rRNA from 1 species
UACGAAGGGGGCGAGCGUUGUUCGGAAUUACUGGGCGUAAAGGGCGCGUAGGCGGCUUCAGAAGUCAGGUGUGAAAGCCUUGGGCUUAACCCAAGAAUUGCACUUGAUACUCUGUGGCUGGAAUGCAGGAGAGGUUGGUGGAAUUCCCAGUGUAGAGGUGAAAUUCGUAGAGAUUGGGAAGAACACCAGUGGCGAAGGCGGCCAACUGGCCUGUGAUUGACGCUGAGGCGCGAAAGCGUGGGGAGCAAACAGG